UUAAAGGAAUUGACGGAAGGGCACCACCAGGAGUGGAGCCUGCGGCUUAAUUUGACUCAACACGGGGAAUUUCACCAGGUCCGGACAUGAUUGCGAUGGACAGAUUGAUAGCUCUUUCUAGAUCUCAUGGAUGGUGGUGCAUGGUCGUUCUUAGUUCGUGGAGCGAUUUGUCUGGUUAAUUCCGAUAACGAGCGAGACUCUACCUUACUAACUAAGACGUACGAUAUACACGAGGUCUGUUGCCGUUGUUGCGUUCGUUGCCCGUACUUCGGUGCGUGGUAUACGGCGUACGGCGGCACGGUCCAUACUAUCGGCGCAAAUGUUUUCUUCUUAGAAGAACAAGCUAUAUAUAGUAGCACGAGAGAGAGCAAUAACAGGUCUGUGAUGCCCUUAGAUGUCCUGGGCCGCACGCGUGCGACAAUGAAAGAGUCAAUAGGUGUCCUAGGCCGAAAUGUCUGGGUAAUCCUAGCAAUCUCUUUCGUGUUGGGGAUUGGGGCUUGAAAGUGCUUCCCAUGAACGAGGAAUUCCCAGUAAGCGUAGUUGAUCAAUCUACGCUGAUUGAGUCCCUGCCCUUUGUACACACCGCCCGUCGCUACUACCGAUGAGCGGGCUAGCGAGAUCUUCGGACCGGCGCCUCGAAAGAGGUCGUUACCGGAAAGUCGAUCAAACUUGCCCGUUUAGAGGAAGUAAAA
rnacentral:rRNA from 1 species